GAUGAACGCUGGCGGCGUGCCUAAUACAUGCAAGUCGAGCGAACAGACGAGGAGCUUGCUCCUCUGACGUUAGCGGCGGACGGGUGAGUAACACGUGGAUAACCUACCUAUAAGACUGGGAUAACUUAGGGAAACCGGAGCUAAUACCGGAUAAUAUAUUGAAUCGCAUGGUUCAAUAGUGAAAGACGGUUUUGCUGUCCCCUCUAGAUGGCUCCGCGCCGCAUUAGCUAGUUGGUAAGGUAACGGCUUCCCAAGGCGAGGAUGGGUAGCCGACCUGAGAGGGGGUACGGCCACACAGAGACUGAGACGCGGUCCAGACUCCUACGGGAGGCAGCAGUAGGGAAUCGUGCGCGAUGGGCGAAAGCCUGACGGAUCAGCGCCGCGUGGAUGAUGAGGGUCUUCGGAUCGUAAAACGCUGUUAUUAGGGAAGAACAAAUUUGUAAGUAACGAUGCACGUCUUGACGGUACCUAAUCAGAAAGCCACGGCUAACUACGUG
rnacentral:rRNA from 1 species